rnacentral:rRNA from 1 species
UACUCCUACGGGGCGCAGCAGUGGGGAAUAUUGGGCAAUGGGCGCAAGCCUGACCCAGCAACGCCGCGUGAAGGAAGAAGGCCCUCGGAAUGUAAACAUCUUUUCUAUAGGACGAAGAAGUGACGGUACUAUAGGAAUAAGCCGCGGCUAACUACGUGCCAGCAGCCGCGGUAAUACGUAGGUGGCGAGCGUUAUCCGGAUUUACUGGGUGUAAAGGGCGUUGGUGCGGGUGUGCAAUUCAGUUGUGAAA